UACAGAGGUCUCAAGCGUUGUUCGGAUCAUUGGGCGUAAAGGGUGCGUAGGCGGCGCGGUAAGUCGGGUGUGAAAUCUCGGGGCUUAACUCCGAAACUGCAUUCGAUACUGCCGUGCUUGAGGACUGGAGAGGAGACUGGAAUUUACGGUGUAGCGGUGAAAUGCGUAGAUAUCGUAAGGAAGACCAGUGGCGAAGGCGGGUCUCUGGACAGUUCCUGACGCUGAGGCACGAAGGUCAGGGGAGCAAACGGG
rnacentral:rRNA from 1 species